rnacentral:rRNA from 1 species
GAUGAACGCUAGCUACAGGCUUAACACAUGCAAGUCGAGGGCAGCGGGAUUGAAGCUUGCUUCAAUUGCCGGCGACCGGCGCACGGGUGAGUAACGCGUAUCCAACCUUCCGUACACUCGGGGAUAGCCUUUCGAAAGAAAGAUUAAUAUCCGAUAGCAUAUAUUUCCCGCAUGGGUUUUAUAUUAAAGAAAUUCGGUAUGAGAUGGGGGAUGCGUUCCAUUAGUUUGUUGGGGGGGUAACGGCCCACCAAGACUACGAUGGAUAGGGGUUCUGAGAGGAAGGUCCCCCACAUUGGAACUGAGACACGGUCCAAACUCCUACGGGAGGCAGCAGUGAGGAAUAUUGGUCAAUGGACGCGAGUCUGAACCAGCCAAGUAGCGUGAAGGAUGACUGCCCUAUGGGUUGUAAACUUCUUUUAUAUGGGAAUAAAGUUGUCCACGUGUGGAUUUUUGUAUGUACCAUAUGAAUAAGGAUCGGCUAACUCCGUG